rnacentral:rRNA from 1 species
UACGAAGGGGGCUAGCGUUGCUCGGAAUUACUGGGCGUAAAGCGUGCGCAGGCGGUUCUAUAAGACAGAUGUGAAAUCCCCGGGCUCAACCUGGGAACUGCAUUUGUGACUGUAGAGCUGGAGUACGGUAGAGGGGGAUGGAAUUCCGCGUGUAGCAGUGAAAUGCGUAGAUAUGCGGAGGAACACCGAUGGCGAAGGCAAUCCCCUGGACCUGUACUGACGCUCAUGCACGAAAGCGUGGGGAGCAAACAGG